rnacentral:rRNA from 1 species
GCAUAUCAAUAAGCGGAGGAAAAGAAACCAACCGGGAUUGCCUUAGUAACGGCGAGUGAAGCGGCAAAAGCUCAAAUUUGAAAUCUGGUACCUUCGGUGCCCGAGUUGUAAUUUGGAGAGGGCAACUUUGGGGCCGUUCCUUGUCUAUGUUCCUUGGAACAGGACGUCAUAGAGGGUGAGAAUCCCGUGUGGCGAGGAGUGCGGUUCUUUGUAAAGUGCCUUCGAAGAGUCGAGUUGUUUGGGAAUGCAGCUCUAAGUGGGUGGUAAAUUCCAUCUAAAGCUAAAUAUUGGCGAGAGACCGAUAGCGAACAAGUACAGUGAUGGAAAGAUGAAAAGAACUUUGAAAAGAGAGUGAAAAAGUACGUGAAAUUGUUGAAAGGGAAGGGCAUUUGAUCAGACAUGGUGUUUUGUGCCCUCUGCUCCUUGUGGGUAGGGGAAUCUCGCAUUUCACUGGGCCAGCAUCAGUUUUGGUGGCAGGAUAAAUCCAUAGGAAUGUAGCUUGCCUCGGUAAGUAUUAUAGCCUGUGGGAAUACUGCCAGCUGGGACUGAGGACUGCGACGUAAGUCAAGAUGCUGGCAUAAUGGUUAUAUGCCGCCCGUCUUGAAACACGGACC